GUGUCAGCAGCCGCGGUAAUACAGAGGUCCCAAGCGUUGUUCGGAUUCACUGGGCGUAAAGGGUGCGUAGGCGGUCGGGUAAGUCUGAUGUGAAAUCUCACAGCUUAACUGUGAAACUGCAUUGGAUACUAUCCGGCUCGAGGAAUGGAGGGGAGACUGGAAUACUUGGUGUAGCAGUGAAAUGCGUAGAUAUCAAGUGGAACACCAGUGGCGAAGGCGAGUCUCUGGACAUUUCCUGACGCUGAGGCACGAAAGCCAGGGGAGCAAACGGGAUUAGAAACCCCUGUAGUCC
rnacentral:rRNA from 1 species